UACGUAGGGGGCUAGCGUUGUCCGGAUUUAUUGGGCGUAAAGAGCGUGUAGGCGGCCAGAUAGGUCUGCUGUGAAAACUCGAGGCUCAACCUCGAGAUGUCGGCGGAAACCAUUUGGCUAGAGUCCGGAAGAGGAAAGUGGAAUUCCUGGUGUAGCGGUGAAAUGCGCAGAUAUCAGAGAACACCAAUGGCGAAAGCAGCUCUCUGGGACGGUACUGACGCUGAGACGCGAAAGCGUGGGGAGCGAACAGG
rnacentral:rRNA from 1 species